UAGUGGCGAACGGGUGAGUAACACGUGGGCAAUCUGCCCUUCACUCUGGGACAAGCCCUGGAAACGGGGUCUAAUACCGGAUAUCACUCCUGCAGUGCAUCUGCGGGAGUUGAAAGCUCCGGCGGUGAAGGAUGAGCCCGCGGCCUAUCAGCUUGUUGGUGAGGUAAUGGCUCACCAAGGCGACGACGGGUAGCCGGCCUGAGAGGGCAGACCGGCCACACUGGGACUGAGACACGGCCCAGACUCCUACGGGAGGCAGCAGUGGGGAAUAUUGCACAAUGGGCGAAAGCCUGAUGCAGCGACGCCGCGUGAGGGAUGACGGCCUUCGGGUUGUAAACCUCUUUCAGCAGGGAAGAAGCGAAAGUGACGGUACCUGCAGAAGAAGCGCCGGCUAACUACGUGCCAGCAGCCGCGGUAAUACGUAGGGCGCAAGCGUUGUCCGGAAUUAUUGGGCGUAAAGAGCUCGUAGGCGGCUUGUCACGUCGGGUGUGAAAGCCCGGGGCUUAACCCCGGGUCUGCAUUCGAUACGGGCUAGCUAGAGUGUGGUAGGGGAGAUCGGAAUUCCU
rnacentral:rRNA from 1 species